rnacentral:rRNA from 1 species
CAAUAGAUACCCGGGUAGUCCACGCCGUAAACGAUGGAUGCUAGCUGUUAUGAGUAUCGACCCUUGUAGUAGCGAAGCUAACGCGUUAAGCAUCCCGCCUGUGGAGUACGAGCGCAAGCUUAAAACAUAAAGGAAUUGACGGGGACCCGCACAAGCGGUGGAGCGUGUUGUUUAAUUCGAUGAUAAGCGAAGAACCUUACCAAGGCUUGACAUCCCUGGAAUUUCUCCGAAAGGAGAGAGUGCCUUCGGGAAUCAGGUGACAGGUGAUGCAUGGCCGUCGUCAGCUCGUGUCGUGAGAUGUUUGGUUAAGUCCAUCAACGAGCGCAACCCUUGUAAAUAGUUGAAUUUUUCUAUUUAGACUGCCUCGGUAACGGGGAGGAAGGAGGGGAUGAUGUCAGGUCAGUAUUUCCCUUACGCCUUGGGCUACAAACACGCUACAAUGGCCGGUACAAAGGGCAGCCAACCCGCGAGGGGGAGCAAAUCCCAUCAAAACCGGUCUCAGUUCGGAUAGCAGGCUGAAAUUCGCCUGCUUGAAGCCGGAAUCGUACG